rnacentral:tRNA from 1 species
GGGUGAUUAGCUCAGUGGUAGAGCAUCUCGUUUACACCGAGGUGGUCGGCAGUUCGAAUCUGUCAUCACCCACCA